rnacentral:rRNA from 1 species
GCGAAAACUUUACAAUGCCGGCAACGGCGAUAAGGGGACCUCGAGUGCCCGGUUACAAAUCUGGCUGUCGUGAUGCCUAAAAAGCAUUGCAUAGCAAGGGCCGGGCAAGACCGGUGCCAGCCGCCGCGGUAACACCGGCGGCUCGAGUGGUAACCGUUAUUAUUGGGUCUAAAGGGUCUGUAGCCGGCCGGAUAAGUCUCUUGGGAAAUCCAGCGGCUUAACUGUUGGGCUUUCAGGAGAUACUGUCUGGCUCGAGGCCGGGAGAGGUGAGAGGUACUUCAGGGGUAGGGGUGAAAUCUUGUAAUCCUUGAAGGACCACCAGUGGCGAAGGCGUCUCACCAGAACAGACCUGACGGCAAGGGACGAAAGCUAGGGGCACGAACC